UACGGGGGGGGCAAGCGUUGUUCGGAAUUACUGGGCGUAAAGGGCUCGUAGGCGGCCAACUAAGUCAGACGUGAAAUCCCUCGGCUUAACCGGGGAACUGCAUCUGAUACUGGAUGGCUUGAGUUCGGGAGAGGGAUGCGGAAUUCCAGGUGUAGCGGUGAAAUGCGUAGAUAUCUGGAGGAACACCGGUGGCGAAGGCGGCAUCCGGGACCGACACUGACGCUGAGGAGCGAAAGCCAGGGGAGCAAACGGG
rnacentral:rRNA from 1 species